CCUCAGGACGAUGAUGAUAUUGCUUCAUAUGUUCUGGCCGGUCUAGAUGAUCAAUACAACGGCUUUGUUGCAGCGAUUACCGCACUGAUUAGGGCUCAGCAAUCUGUGAGUCUUGGUGAUUUGUAUUCGCAGUUUCUUGC